rnacentral:tRNA from 1 species
GCCUGGGUGGCUCAGUCGGUUGAGCAUCCGACUUUGGCUCAGGUCAUGAUCUCGCAGUCUGUGAGUUCGAGCCCCACGUCGGGCU